AACGCGAAGAACCUUACCAGGUCUUGACAUCCUCUGACACUCCUAGAGAUAGGACGUUCCCCUUCGGGGGACAGAGUGACAGGUGGUGCAUGGUUGUCGUCAGCUCGUGUCGUGAGAUGUUGGGUUAAGUCCCGCAACGAGCGCAACCCUUGAUCUUAGUUGCCAGCAUUUAGUUGGGCACUCUAAGGUGACUGCCGGUGACAAACCGGAGGAAGGUGGGGAUGACGUCAAAUCAUCAUGCCCCUUAUGUCUAGGGCUACACACGUGCUACAAUGGUGAGUACAACAAGAUGCAAACCCGUGAGGGGGAGCCAAACUGUAAAACUCAUCCCAGUUCGGAUUGAAGGCUGAAACUCGCCUUCAUGAAGCCGGAGUUGCUAGUAAUCGCGAAUCAGCAUGUCGCGGUGAAUACGUUCCCGGG
rnacentral:rRNA from 1 species